GAAGUAUGUUAGCGAAUUAUCAACUGUGCGGGAUUGUGCCACUGAAUGUGCUGAAAAAGAAAUCUGGGAGACUCAAACCUAUUGCUGCACCGAAGAUGGCUGCAAUGGCUCAUCCACCAUUGAGAUCUCAUCGAUGGUGUUAAUGGUGCCUUUGGUGGUCUACAUGUGUCAAGCCAUAUGGAAUGUGAUUAAGGAGCAACGUCGCCGUUAAGUGCUACAAAUAAAUAGAGACACUUUUUUUCUAAUACCUUGAGUUAUUGCCAUUAUCUUAGCUUCAAUGUUGGUUUGUUUUAUGUUUUCUAAUUUCAUAAAAGCAUUAUCUGUUAUACUUUAGCAAAAAAA
rnacentral:sRNA from 1 species